rnacentral:rRNA from 1 species
UAGGGAAUCUUCGGCAAUGGACGGAAGUCUGACCGAGCAACGCCGCGUGAGUGAAGAAGGUUUUCGGAUCGUAAAGCUCUGUUGUAAGAGAAGAACGAGUGUGAGAGUGGAAAGUCCACACUGUGACGGUAUCUUACCAGAAAGGGACGGCUAACUACGUGCCAGCAGCCGCGGUAAUACGUAGGUCCCGAGCGUUGUCCGGAUUUAUUGGGCGUAAAGCGAGCGCAGGCGGUUAGAUAAGUCUGAAGUUAAAGGCUGUGGCUUAACCAUAGUACGCUUUGGAAACUGUUUAACUUGAGUGCAAGAGGGGAGAGUGGAAUUCCAUGUGUAGCGGUGAAAUGCGUAGAUAUAUGGAGGAACACCGGUGGCGAAAGCGGCUCUCUGGCUUGUAACUGACGCUGAGGCUCGAAAGCGUGGGGAGCAAACAGGAUUAGAUACCCUGGUAGUCCACGCCGUAAACGAUGAGUGCUAGGUGUUAGACCCUUUCCGGGGUUUAGUGCCGCAGCUAACGCAUUAAGCACUCCGCCUGGGGAGUACGACCGCAAGGUUG